rnacentral:rRNA from 1 species
GACGGAGGGUGCUAGCGUUGUUCGGAAUCACUGGGCGUAAAGGGCGCGUAGGCGGCUGUGGCAGUCGGGUGUGAAAGCCCGGAGCUCAACUCCGGAACGGCACUCGAGACGCCAUGGCUGGAGGCCGGAAGAGGAGGGUGGAAUACCCAGUGUAGAGGUGAAAUUCGUAGAUAUUGGGUGGAACACCGGUGGCGAAAGCGGCUCUCUGGUCCGGACCUGACGCUGAGGCGCGAAAGCGUGGGGAGCAAACAGG